GAAAAGUCUAUCUUUGCAUGCAGUAUCAUCUUCUAAAGAAAAAACAGCAACAAAAAAAAAGAGGAUGUGUCUUAAUGAUUUAAGAUUCUGUCUUUGUGGUGUAAGAGAACUUUACUGUACUGUUUAGAAUUUUCAACGGACAUAAGCUUGGUCAUACAUAUUGGUCAUACAUACAGGUGUCUGCAGAAGCAUGGAGCUGUCAGCGCUGUCAGUGAACACUUUACAGUGGUGUAUAGGAAUCUCAUAAAUCAGCAGGGAUUGCUCAGUGAUCCCCAGAAGUGCAAAAGGCUUCUGUAGACCUUUUUGCUAUGACGAAAGCAAUACUGAGGAAAAGUGACUUCCACUUAUUAUUUCAGAAGGCGUGCCGGGACAAAGCGGGAAAUGGAAACUUCAGCUUAUUGAGGGGGAAGGUCAGGGAGGAGUCUUCUUUUUUUCUAAGGAGGAACAUUUCAUGCCUAUUAAACUAAUAUGGAAG
rnacentral:lncRNA from 1 species